AUGAACGCUGGCAGCGUGCCUAAUACAUGCAAGUCGAACGCUUCACUUCGGUGAAGAGUGGCGAACGGGUGAGUAAUACAUAAGUAACCUGGCAUCUACAGGGGGAUAACUGAUGGAAACGUCAGCUAAGACCGCAUAGGUGUAGAGAUCGCAUGAACUCUAUAUGAAAAGUGCUACGGGACUGGUAGAUGAUGGACUUAUGGCGCAUUAGCUUGUUGGUAGGGUAACGGCCUACCAAGGCGACGAUGCGUAGCCGACCUGAGAGGGUGACCGGCCACACUGGGACUGAGACACGGCCCAGACUCCUACGGGAGGCAGCAGUAGGGAAUUUUCGGCAAUGGGGGAAACCCUGACCGAGCAACGCCGCGUGAAGGAAGAAGUAAUUCGUUAUGUAAACUUCUGUCAUAGAGGAAGAACGGUGGAUAUAGGGAAUGAUAUCCAAGUGACGGUACUCUAUAAGAAAGCCACGGCUAACUACGUG
rnacentral:rRNA from 1 species